AAUUUUAUUUAAGGUCUGACCUGCCCUAUGAAUAUUAAAUGGCCGCGGUAUUUUGACCGUGCGAAGGUAGCAUAAUCAUUAGUUUUUUAAUUGAAAGCUUGUAUGAAUGGUCUGACGAGAUAAGAACUGUUUCUAAAUAAAAAUUAUAAUUUUAUUUUUGAGUAAAAAAGCUUAAAUUUUUUUAAAAGACGAGAAGACCCUAUAAAUCUUUAUAUUUUUUAUUUUUAAUAAUUUUAGUUUUUUUUUAAUUAUUUUUAUUAAAAUUUAUUUAAUUGGGGAAAUUUAAUGAUUUAUUUAAUUCAUUAUUUUUAUUAUUCAUUUAUAUAUGUUUAAUUGAUCCUUUAAAAAAGAUUAUAAGAUUAAGUUACUUUAGGGAUAACAGCGUAAUUUUUCUGGAGAGUUCAUAUCUAUAGAAGAGAUUGCGACCUCGAUGUUGGAUUAAAAUUAAUUUUGGGUGCAGAAUUUCACAAAAUUUGGUCUGUUCGACCAUUAAAAUUUU
rnacentral:rRNA from 1 species